AUGUGCGCGAGUCAUUGGGAACGUUGAUAAACCCAGAGGCGAAAUGAAAGUGAAAGGCCGGCCUCGAGCCGGUCGCAGGGAAGAUGCGCGGACGGCGUCAGCCGUCCCGCCGCAUUCCCGAGGCGUUUCGAGAAAGCCACCGUGCGAUUAUCGAGACGCACUGAGAGCGUACACGCUGGGACCCGAAAGAUGGUGAACUAUGCCUGG
rnacentral:rRNA from 1 species